rnacentral:rRNA from 1 species
GACGAACGCUGGCGGCGUGCUUAACACAUGCAAGUCGAACGGUGACGGAGAGCUUGCUCUCCUGAUCAGUGGCGAACGGGUGAGUAACACGUGGGCAACCUGCCCCAGACUUCGGGAUAACGCUUCGAAAGAGGUGCUAAUACCGGAUACGAACUCCUUGGGCAUCCUUGGAGUUGGAAAGUUUUUCGGUCUGGGAUGGGCCCGCGGCCUAUCAGCUUGUUGGUGAGGUAACGGCUCACCAAGGCGACGACGGGUAGCCGGCCUGAGAGGGCAACCGGCAACACUGGGACUGAGGCACUGCCCAGACUCCUACGGGAGGCAGCAGUGGGGAAUAUCGCGCAAUGGGCGAAAGCCUGACGCAGCAACGCCGCGUGAGGGAUGACGGCCUUCGGGUUGUAAACCUCUUUCAGCAGGGAAGAAGCGAAAGUGACGGUACCUGCAGAAGAAGCACCGGCUAACUACGUGCCAGCAGCCGCCGUAAAAC